rnacentral:lncRNA from 1 species
CCAGGCUUUUUAUUAUUUCCAAGGUCAUUUGCUCUGCAGCAGGGCUGAAAAGCAGAAUUGCCUUCCUCGCGCUGUUUAUAUCUACCAGACACACACUACUUGCUUUUUCAUUUGGAUUCAUUUUCUGCGCUGUCCUGAGAGAAAGGAGCGAAGCAAUUUUCUAUUUACUGCAAAAUUCCAACCUGGCUCCCCGGAGUCUUUGGGUGAUUUUCACCCUUGGAGCCUGCCAGCAGAACGACUCGGUGGCUUUUUUUUUCCCCAGCCACACGUGGAAGCAGUUCUUGGUGGUUUGGGUCCUUUGUAUUCUGUGGAUUAUAAAAGCUCUCUCCUGUAAGGAGCCUGGAAAAGGAAGCGCACUAAUUAUUAUUAACUCUGCCAAAGCCAAUAAUAUCCUUGGGUAAUUAUUGGUUUACCCAAUUUUCCUGUGAGCCUACUGUGUAAAUACACCGUUGUGAAGAGGCUAUUACUUCCUCCACGCUCCACCUCGCCAGAGCCCUGAUGGUCUGGGGCUGGUGACGUGCCCGUCGUGAUCAGGGCUGUUAAUUUUGGCGGGCAAUCACCACCGGUAAUCAAACACAAAAUGG